rnacentral:rRNA from 1 species
ACUCAAAUGAAUUGACGGGGGCCCGCACAAGCGGUGGAGCAUGUGGUUUAAUUCGACGCAACGCGAAGAACCUUACCUGGGCUCGAACGGCUUUGGAUCGGAGGUGGAAACGCCUUUUUUCCCGCAAGGGACCGGAGUCGAGGUGCUGCAUGGCUGUCGUCAGCUCGUGUCGUGAGAUGUUGGGUUAAGUCCCGCAACGAGCGCAACCCUUGUCCUGUGUUGCAAACGCGCAAGCGUGCACUCGCAGGAGACCGCCAACGAUAAGUUGGAGGAAGGUGGGGAUGACGUCAAGUCAUCAUGGCCUUUAUGUCCAGGGCUACACACGUGCUACAAUGGACGGUACAAAGCGCGGCGAACUCGCGAGAGGGAGCUAAUCGCCAAAAACCGUUCUCAGUUCGGAUUGCAGGCUGCAACUCGCCUGCAUGAAGCUGGAAUCGCUAGUAAUGGCAUAUCAGAACGAUGCCGUGAAUACGUUCCCGGGCCUUGUACACACCGCCCGU